rnacentral:rRNA from 1 species
GACGAACGCUGGCGGCGUGCUUAACACAUGCAAGUCGAACGGAAAGGCCCUGCUUUUGUUGUGUGCUCGAGUGGCGAACGGGUGAGUAACACGUGAGUAACCUGCCCUUGACUUUGGGAUAACUUCAGUAAACUGGGGCUAAUACCGGAUAUGAGCUCCUGCUGCAUGGUGGGGGUUGGAAAGUUUCGGCGGUUGGGGUUGGACUCGCGGCUUAUCAGCUUGUUGGUGGGGUAGUGGCUUACCAAGGCUUUGACGGGUAGCCGGCCUGAGAGGGUGACCGGCGACAUUGGGCCUGAGAUAAGGCCCAGACGCCGACGGGAGGCAGCAGUGGGGAGUAUUGCACAAUGGGCGGAAGCCUGAGGCAGGAACGCCGCGUGCGGGAUGACGGCCUUCGGGUUGUAAACCGCUUUCGCCUGUGACGAAGCGGGAGUGACGGUAAUGGGUAAAGAAGCACCGGCUAACUACGUG